GGCUUUCCCUUCGGGGACAGAGUGACAGGUGGUGCAUGGUUGUCGUCAGCUCGUGUCGUGAGAUGUUGGGUUAAGUCCCGCAACGAGCGCAACCCUUGAUCUUAGUUGCCAGCAUUUAGUUGGGCACUCUAAGGUGACUGCCGGUGACAAACCGGAGGAAGGUGGGGAUGACGUCAAAUCAUCAUGCCCCUUAUGACCUGGGCUACACACGUGCUACAAUGGACAGAACAAAGGGCUGCAAGACCGCAAGGUUUAGCCAAUCCCAUAAAUCUGUUCUCAGUUCGGAUCGCAGUCUGCAACUCGACUGCGUGAAGCUGGAAUCGCUAGUAAUCGCGGAUCAGCAUGCCGCGGUGAAUACGUUCCCGGGUCUUGUACACACCGA
rnacentral:rRNA from 1 species